GAACGACCGAGUUUCUCUCAGCCGAGAACUGUGGCUGCCCCUCCGGUGAAAACAGAGGAAGUGGGAGCGGCAGGAAGCGCUUUGGGACCAGGGCGACCCCUGAAGCGUAGAGGAACCAGGUCACAAGCAUACGUGAAUGCUCACAUUCCAUAGUUAUCAAAUGUAUUCAGGUUUAAAUUUUACUUUUCUUGAAAAAAUGUAAAUAAUCAGUUGAGAAUAUUUAAUGAAAAAUGUUGGUCGUAUCUUUAUCUGGUCUGCGGCUCUGUCCCUGUUUCCUGGAUAGGAGACUACGUCUGUAUCUUGUAUCACAGGAGGCACCUUCUUCCUGUUUCCUGGCACAGACUU
rnacentral:lncRNA from 1 species